AUUUAAAUAGUUUAAUAAAAAUUUUGAUCUGUGGCGUCAAGGAUAUACAAUAAGUAUUUUAGAUA
rnacentral:tRNA from 1 species